CACACUGUAAACGAUGAUUGCUAGGUGUGGGGAGUCUGACCCUUUCCGUGCCGCAGUUAACGCAAUAAGCAAUCCACCUGGGGAGUACGACCGCAAGGUUAAAACUCAAAGGAAUUGACGGGGGCCCGCACAAGCAGUGGAUUAUGUGGUUUAAUUCGAAGCAACGCGAAGAACCUUACCAGGUCUUGACAUCCAACUAACGAGAUAGAGAUAUGUCAGGUGCCCUUCGGGGAAAGUUGAGACAGGUGG
rnacentral:rRNA from 1 species